rnacentral:rRNA from 1 species
AGAGUUUGAUCCUGGCUCAGGAUGAACGCUGGCUACAGGCUUAACACAUGCAAGUCGAGGGGCAGCAUGCCGGUUGCUUGCAACCGGUGAUGGCGACCGGCGCACGGGUGAGUAACGCGUAUCCAACCUUCCCGCGACCAAGGGAUAACCUGCCGAAAGGCAGACUAAUACCUUAUGUCCUCCUUUGAAGGCAUCUGACGAGGAGCAAAGAUCCGUCGGUCACGGAUGGGGAUGCGUCCGAUUAGCUUGUUGGCGGGGCAACGGCCCACCAAGGCUUCGAUCGGUAGGGGUUCUGAGAGGAAGGCCCCCCACACUGGAACUGAGACACGGUCCAGACUCCUACGGGAGGCAGCAGUGAGGAAUAUUGGUCAAUGGGCGGAAGCCUGAACCAGCCAAGUAGCGUGCAGGACGACGGCCCUACGGGUUGUAAACUGCUUUUAUGCGGGGAUAAAGUUGCCCACGCGUGGGUUUUUGCAGGUACCGCAUGAAUAAGGACCGGCUAAUUCCGUGCCAGCAGCCGCGGUAAUACGGAAGGUCCGGGCGUUAUCCGGAUUUAUUGGGUUUAAAGGGAGCGCAGGCCGCCGUGCAAGCGUGCCGUGAAAAGCAGCGGCCCAACCGCUGCCCUGCGGCGCGAACUGCCUGGCUUGAGUGCGCCGGAAGCGGGCGGAAUUCGUGGUGUAGCGGUGAAAUGCUUAGAUAUCACGAAGAACCCCGAUUGCGAAGGCAGCCCGCUGUGGCGCCACUGACGCUGAGGCUCGAAGGUGCGGGUAUCGAACAGGAUUAGAUACCCUGGUAGUCCGCACGGUAAACGAUGGAUACCCGCUGUCCGGCCCGUACGGUCUGGGCGGCCAAGCGAAAGCGUUAAGUAUCCCACCUGGGGAGUACGCCGGCAACGGUGAAACUCAAAGGAAUUGACGGGGGCCCGCACAAGCGGAGGAACAUGUGGUUUAA